UUGAUAUGCCGGAAAUCCUUUCGCCACUAUUUAUUCAUUUUAAGGAUUGUGGCCACUUGAUCUUGGCUGGCAACAGGAACUUCUAAAAAAAAAAGUUUACUUGUUGAACGAAAUGCCAUAACUACCUUAGUGUACUCUACGAAUUUCGUCUGCCACGCUUUGUUAAAACCAAGAUGGAUCAUAUCGAAUUUCAAGAAUUUUCAAAUGCUUCAACCCUUGUUCUGAAUUGGCUUUCCCAGCAACCAUCGAAGCUAAAAACACUUGUAGCAAACAGAACGUCAGCGUUAUGUAAAUGCCAAGGCUAACCAUGCAGACUGCACAACGCAAGGCAUAAUGGUUAUAUAAUUGCCAUACACCUGGAAUUGGCCACUGACUUCAGAACAGACAACUUUCUGUCAAGUCCUCGUCGAUUUAUGUCUUUUAGAGAGGAACACGGUCACAUUAUCGUCCGCCAACGAUGGAAUCAAACGGAGUUUCAUACCUUUACAUUCCUUACCUAGGCGUUUCGUUAAGCUACACCAUCAUCGAGUUGUGGGAUAGACGACCUUAAUCAAAUUAAAUUUCGUAUCGUGGUCGAUGUAGGCUUCGAUAGGUUCUUGAACCUUGUCAAUGGGACUUAGUGAACCUUUCUUUUUUUAAGUUUAUGAAAUCGAUGAUCACGUUUUUUUUUA